UACGAAGGGGCUAGCGUUGCUCGGAAUCAUGCUAGGCGUAAAGCGCACGUAGGCGGAUUGUUAAGUCAGGGGUGAAACUCCUGGAGCUCAACUCCAGAACGUGCCUUUGAUACUGGCGAUCUCGAGUCCGGGAGAGGUGGAGUGGAACUGCGAGUGUAGAGGGUGAAAGUUCGAUAUGAUAUUCGCAAGAACACCAGUGGCGAAGGCGGCUCAC
rnacentral:rRNA from 1 species